AACGAACGCUGGCGGCAUGCCUAACACAUGCAAGUCGAACGAGAUCUUCGGGUCUGGUAGCGCACGGGUGCGUAACGCGUGGGAAUCUGCCCUUUGGUUCGGAAUAACAGUUGGGAACGACUGCUAAUACCGGAUGAUGACGAAAGUCCAAAGAUUUAUCGCCAGAGGAUGAGCCCGCGUAGGAUUAGCUAGUUGGUGUGGUAAAGGCGCACCAAGGCGACGAUCCUUAGCUGGUCUGAGAGGAUGAUCAGCCACACUGGGACUGAGACACGGCCCAGACUCCUACGGGAGGCAGCAGUGGGGAAUAUUGGACAAUGGGCGAAAGCCUGAUCCAGCAAUGCCGCGUGAGUGAUGAAGGCCUUAGGGUUGUAAAGCUCUUUUACCCGGGAUGAUAAUGACAGUACCGGGAGAAUAAGCUCCGGCUAACUCCGUGCCAGCCGCCGCCGUAA
rnacentral:rRNA from 1 species